CCAGGUACCCCUCAUUAUUUUUUGAAAUUAUUUUCUAUCAUCUGAAUUUUAAACUCUAAACCCAUUUAAACUCAAUAUAUUAGGGCAUAUAUUUUGAAAGCUUUUGCAAUAGUAGUGAUGGAUUUGUGCAGAUACAUCCACUGCUUUACCUCAUUUCUCCUGCUGACCAAAUACAGACAGUUCUGAAACUACUGAAUUAAGGGUGCAGAUUCAGUCCAUGGAAAGAAGCUCAUUGAAUGCUUUUGGUCUUCAUUGAGGACUUACCGAAUUUAUCACUGUGCUUACCCCAGGGAUGUGGCAGUUCACUACAUUACAGAGACUCCUUUGUAAGGAAUAGCCGUACCAUUGUAGUAGUAAAAGGGAUCUGCUUUUAUGGAUUCUCUUUUGUGUGUUUGGGCUGACUGCUAGGAAACUUUGAGCCAGAUUUGCUUCCGAACACCGGGAACUGCAUGAGUUACUAUGUCAUUCUCUGAUUAUUUAGUCAUUUUUGUGUGUUAUUUAUUUUUUGAUCUGUUAUUAAUGCUUUGGGGAAUGAGGCAAGCUUUUAUGGAAAUACGCCCACAAUCGUGAUCUUAUUAGCACUAGAUGUAACUCAUUGUACUAGAUGUCCAUAACUAUUGAAAAGACUCUUAAUUUGGAUAUAUGCCUUUUAGACCCAUUAGUGGCAACUGCAGUGAACCACUUUUCCAGGGAUGUUUGCUAAGCCCUUAAAAUCUUUAUUUGUUUCUCACAGGUCAUAGAGAAGAGAUACUUUCUAAGAGAAGGUAAUCAGAUUCCAGGCUUUCCUGAUCGGAAGAGGUUUGGGGGAGGAACAUUAAAGAGCCUUCAUUAUGACUGAAUUACACUCAUCGUCUGGAAGAGUGAGCAAGCGGUGGCAUUGUGCACAGCUUCCUUCUUGCCGUGUUGACUAUUAAUGUUUCAGCCUUUUCGCAGAAUCAUCUUAAAAUACCACCACCCUUCAGCCUCACCCUUUAAUGGAAAGCUGAAAGGAAGUGACUGUGUGGGAGGUCCAAACUUUGUCCCCGUCCUCUCUGUUCCUCACCUUUCUGUCCCUGUUUAUAGAUUAUGUAAAAGCCUUGUGGAAAUAUGAGAUGUUGUCAAAAUGAUGCAGUAAAUGAGCAAUGACAGAGUGCUGUGGAGAAAAUUUACUCUUCCCAGAACUGGAAGGUUUUUAUGGAUCUGUAAUUUUCCCACACUCCUUGCUGGAGGCUUAAUUAAGUACUUCAAAAUGUAUCUGUGUUGUAUUACCCUCUUGAGGGGAAAGGUUAUGUUAGCCAGCCCUGGGUCGUGCACCCCAGUCUCUGUCAUUUUCAAAGAAGCAAAAGGGUGUUAUUUAAUUGUGUCCCCUCUCAUCACACACAAGGAUGCCUAAGAAUAGAAGCCCUUGUUUCCCUCUCCUCUCCUUUGCAAGAGGUUCAGUGGCUAGAAGAGGCGGACUCCUAGGUGGAGUUAAAUAUAAAUAGAUUAAUAAUACAUAGAGAACAGCGGUACCAGAAAAGAAGACUUCUCCGAGAAAUGGAGAGCUCACUAAAUCCUUCACUCUAGGUUCCAGAUGUCUGCACUGUCUUACUGUUUUUCAUUUGGAAAUAGGUAGGGUGAGAUCUCAGACCUUCACGAGGGCAGCAAGAGAGAUUUAUAGCCUCUUGGGUUUCUGUGUUUUUUAAGGAAAAGUCAGCUCCUGAAAUGUCUCUUAACUGUAGUCAGUAAACUAAGAAUAUUAUUCUCUGUGUCAACAAUGUAUUUAUGGAGAGAAGUAAAAAUAAGUUCCACAGCAACACAUUUACAUGAAUUAUGGACUAGGAUUCUUAGAUUUCAUAAUCCACCGUUUUUGAGGAUGGUGGUGUAUGUGUGCGUAUGCAUAAUUGUUCAUCGUUACUUUUUUUACCCAUUUUUUCUGCUUGUUUAAUUCUCUCUGCCCUGGUUCUUCUUUAAUAUAGAGACCUCGUUUCCAAAAACUGCAAUUUGCUGCCUUAUUCAACACCCAUUUUCCUGCUCUGGCUCUGCGGCAGGUCUUUGCACUACUGAUUUUGUUCCAUAUUAAAAAAAACUAAUAAGCACACAAUUUCAGCUUCUCAUUUUAAAACUAGGCAAAAAACACUAAAUUCGCUUUCUCUUCCAUCUUAAUUACAUUUCAGAAGUACUUUGGAAAUCAAGGUAUGCUAAAAGAGGAUCUUAGAAUAAGAAUGUUAGCCAAUGCUUUUAGAAAGGCAGUUGGAGGAAUUUGGAAAAGGAUUUUUAAAGCACCUUUCAUCAGCUAGAAUAUUCUCCAGUCUUUCUUCCCAUCCUCAGCCACAAGAUUUAGCCCUCAUUUCUUUUUUCACACAAAGGAGAGCUAUGCAAAUCAGGCUCUGUAUGUGGAGUUUGGCACAAGCCUGUUGUGACAGGCUGUGCAGGUAGGAAGCAGAAAGCAAAUGCACACACAAGGACCUGAACCAACUAAAGCUCUUUGUAUUCCUCUUUUAGAAAAUAAAUUCAAAAAAAUUAUACUUACAUUAUGAAAAAAUAAAAUACAACAAUACAAAAGCAAAAAUUAAUAUAUAACCCUUUCCUUCUCUCCCGCUUUCUUCCUCUUUCUUGCCCUUAAUUAAAAAAAUCUAUCUCAAUUUCUUUAUUUUCUCCCUUAUUAAAAAAUAAAAGUAACCCAUCACUGAUGGCUUCAGGGUCAGCCUUGAAAACUUAACAGUACUCCUCAAUUGCAUUUCUUCUUGCUGUCAGGCUUGAUUCCCUGGAUUACAGUUUUCUGAGAAAAAAUUAUUUUUAAUCUAAGGUAAAUUUGCUGCAAGUAUUAGUAGCAGCAAAACAAGGCUGUUUGCCAAAAUGAAUGUAAUUAUGUUAUUAGCCAAAGUUCUUCAAAAAGAAGCAUAAUUUUUGCCAAGAUUUCCUGAGACCUGCUCAUCAAAAUUGCUUUUGGAUAAUGAACAAAUGUAAAUACUGAAAUACUUCCUGAAAAGUGUUAAUUAAAUCUUUAAUUUUCUUGAUGGAACAAGUGACUGGCAAUAGAGAAAGAUUUUUUUUUU